rnacentral:rRNA from 1 species
AUUGAACGCUGGCGGCAUGCCUUACAUAUGCAAGUCGAACGGCAGCACGGGUGCUUGCACCUGGUGGCGAGUGGCGAACGGGUGAGUAAUGUAUCGGAACGUACCUUUCAGUGGGGGAUAACUAUCCGAAAGGAUAGCUAAUACCGCAUAUUCUGUGAGCAGGAAAGCAGGGGAUAGCAAGACCUUGCGCUGAUUGAGCGGCCGAUAUCAGAUUAGCUAGUUGGUGUGGUAAAGGCCUACCAAGGCUACGAUCUGUAGCGGGUCUGAGAGGAUGAUCCGCCACACUGGAACUGAGACACGGUCCAGACUCCUACGGGAGGCAGCAGUGGGGAAUUUUGGACAAUGGGGGCAACCCUGAUCCAGCCAUGCCGCGUGAGUGAAGAAGGCCUUCGGGUUGUAAAGCUCUUUCGUCCGGGAAGAAAUCGCAUCAGCUAAUACCUGGUGUGGAUGACGGUACCGGAAUAAGAAGCACCGGCUAACUACGUGCCAGCAGCCGCGGUAAAAC